rnacentral:lncRNA from 1 species
AGUAGUAUUUUAAUAUUAUUUACAUAAUAAAAUUUGAUUUUAAUUAUAUUUGUUAGGUUUAUAGAUAGCUAUCAUACUAAUGAUCUAUUCAUUGUUGUUUUAGGCCAUUCUCUAUAGGUGAUGAGGCGAGGGCGAGGUUCGUCGAAGAACCUCAUCCUUGAGCAUGGGAGAUGCGAGCACUUGAGAUAGCAUCUCUGUAUCGAGAUUCUAUCAG